rnacentral:rRNA from 1 species
UACGUAGGGUGCGAGCGUUGUCCGGAAUUAUUGGGCGUAAAGAGCUCGUAGGCGGUUUGUUGCGUCGGCCGUGAAAACCUGCAGCUUAACUGUGGGCCUGCAGCCGAUACGGGCAGACUUGAGUUCGGUAGGGGAGACUGGAAUUCCUGGUGUAGCGGUGAAAUGCGCAGAUAUCAGGAGGAACACCGGUGGCGAAGGCGGGUCUCUGGGCCGAUACUGACGCUGAGGAGCGAAAGCGUGGGGAGCAAACAGG